UUAUGAUGCUAGUAUAUUCCAGAUGUCUGAAAGCAGUAGUGUUUUAAGCUGUGACAUAUCAGUUGACGAUCGUUUUAUUGUUACUGGAUCUGGAGACAAGAAGGCUACAGUGUAUGAAGUUAUACUAUGAGUAGGUGAUAUUUGACUUGUAAUGAAUAAUGCAAUCUACACUUGAGUUUACUCUCUUUGUUACAAGA